rnacentral:rRNA from 1 species
GACAGAGGAUGCAAGCGUUAUCCGGAAUGAUUGGGCGUAAAGCGUCUGUAGGUGGCUUUUCAAGUCCGCCGUCAAAUCCCAGGGCUCAACCCUGGACAGGCGGUGGAAACUGCCAAGCUGGAGUACGGUAGGGGCAGAGGGAAUUUCCGGUGGAGCGGUGAAAUGCGCAGAUAUCAGGAGGAACACCCGUAGCGAAGGCGGCACUCUGGGCCGAUACUGACACUGAGGAGCGAAAGCGUGGGGAGCGAACAGG